rnacentral:lncRNA from 10 species
AAAACAAAGAUUCAAUUCCUGCUGUAUCAUAAAAGUCUAAAGAUGCAUCUUCUACAACCCUAGGAACAUUCCAGCAAACCUGUCCAAAAUGUGCACCAGAAGGAGACAUUGUCUUAAUUACACUUGAUAAUUUUAAUAUCAAAAUUCAACCAAAUAAAAUACAGCAGUAUGACAGAACACAGUAUUUGUCUUUUCCACCUUUCCAUGAUGUGAGGACACCCCAAGAAUGUCCCCUAAAGACAGGAAACAAGACAUGGAAUCUUCUGGCACCAUGAUCUUGGACUUCAUAGCCUCCAAAAUGGUUAGCAAGCUGAAGCAAGGGAAGAGAAGAACAGUUUAAUAAUCAAAGAGCGUGAUUAUAAUGAUGCCCCCAUGGAGCUGAAGGUAAAGAACCUACAGACCCGCAUGUAUUGAAGUUUGAAACCACCUGUGUAAACAGCACACAGAUGAAGGACCACUUUACCCUGUUUCUCACACCAUAGGUGUCAUAGACAUACUAAUGAAGGGGCUGCCUCACACAGAGAGCUAUCUUACAAGGUUCUGAGAAUAAAAUGAGAGCUAGAAGAGACAUGAUUUCUACUUCAAUAUUUUAUUUGGCAACAUCCUACUGAAAAGACAAGCAAAACCACUAUGAUUCAUAAUACUUGCAGAUGAAGGCAAUAUGACACAAGAAGGUUAAACGGCCUCUCAUGACAAUUGAAGGGAACGAGAGCAAAGCCACCUGCAUAUCUUCGGCAGUUAAAGAUCAGAAUCAUAACAACAAUAACAUCUCACAAUUUUCCAAGUGCUCCUUCGGCUCUGUCUUUUUCCUCCCACCUGAGGCCCCCAGGGUGGGUGUAGACAUUCAUCUCUGCUUCAUUUGAUCCACCUCUGCUUGGCCACUGCUGGACUUUUUCUCAGGCAAAGGAGAACCCCCAGGAGAGUGGAUAAACUGGACCAAGGAGCUGCAGAGCUCAAAUAGAACACUUCUCCUUCAAAAUUUAACUCAGCUCUCGGAAACACUGAAAGGAAAUGUGGCCUAUAAUUAUCCAACGUGAGAUGCAAGGAUUGAAUGCUUUGUCCAAGCUUUGCUGUUCUAAGAGAAGUCAAGGUGAAGGGUUUAGUGCCUCUGAAGCUGGGGCAAGAAAACAAUCGGCUUCUCCAACGGUCAGUAAAGAAUACAAGGGCACAGUUAAAACAGAGCCACUGAAGUGAACAACCUUCAUGUGACCAACAGGAGAAACACCCCCUCCAGGAACCUAAGACCAGUUUGCUACAAGAAUACAAUUGGUAUUCCCCACAGUCACCCUCACAAGGGACACUUACAAAGCACACUCCAAUCUCAGCCAUUACUGACUGACAAGCCUGCCUGUCUGAAGCCUGCAGGCCCGAGAAGCUUCUUUCUCCCUUCUCUUGGCUAUUAGUCACAGCUGGUAAGGCUCACAGGAACCGAGACUGUUUGAAAACAGUUGGAUCACG